rnacentral:rRNA from 1 species
GACGAACGCUGGCGGCGUGCUUAACACAUGCAAGUCGAACGGAAAGGCCCUGCUUUUGUGGGGUGCUCGAGUGGCGAACGGGUGAGUAACACGUGAGUAACCUGCCCUUGACUUUGGGAUAACUUCAGGAAACUGGGGCUAAUACCGGAUAGGAGCUCCUGCUGCAUGGUGGGGGUUGGAAAGUUUCGGCGGUUGGGGAUGGACUCGCGGCUUAUCAGCUUGUUGGUGGGGUAGUGGCUUACCAAGGCUUUGACGGGUAGCCGGCCUGAGAGGGUGACCGGCCACAUUGGGACUGAGAUACGGCCCAGACUCCUACGGGAGGCAGCAGUGGGGAAUAUUGCACAAUGGGCGGAAGCCUGAUGCAGCAACGCCGCGUGCGGGAUGACGGCCUUCGGGUUGUAAACCGCUUUCGCCUGUGACGAAGCGUGAGUGACGGUAAUGGGUAAAGAGGCACCGGUUAACUACGUG